AACCCCUGCCCUUAGUUGCCAUCGGGUCACGCCGGGAACUCUAAGGGGACCGCCCCGGACAACGGGGAGGAAGGUGGGGAUGACGUCAAGUCAGCAUGGCCUUUAUGUCCAGGGCUACACACGUGCUACAAUGGUUGGUACAAAGGUUGCCAAGCCGUGAGGCGGAGCCAAUCUCAAAAAGCCAACCUCAGUUCGGAUUGCAGUCUGCAACUCGACUGCAUGAAGUUGGAAUCGCUAGUAAUCGCUGAUCAGCAGGCAGCGGUGAAUACGUUCCCGGGCCUU
rnacentral:rRNA from 1 species